AUUCUUGUGUUAUAUAAUUUCUUGUUUUAGGACAACUUCACUUCCAUCGGUCCAGUGACUACUUUCAAAAUGAAGUAAGGGUUUUACUCUCAUAGACUGUCAUUUCCCCUGUUUCCCCUCAGUGCUUCAUGUGAUCUUCAUGCUCUCCCUCUUCCUCUGUAUUAUCUGUAAUUUUGUCUGUGCUAUGGAUUCUUGCUAUUUUCACUUGUGUACUGUAUGCAUGACUUUUCACAACAUUUGAACGUUGACAAUUUACUUCACCUUUUUGGCUAGGUGUUUCUCCAUCACAGAGAAUGAAUGAGACCUCUUGUGAAUGGUUUACAUGGGACACGAAAUCCAUAUUCCCAUUUGUAGUUGGCGCUGCCUUCUCAGCAAUUGUCAUCGGCAUUGUACUCUGUAUCUGCCUCUGCUGCAAAAGAAAAGCAAAACGCAAAGAGCUCAAAGCCGGCAUGUACUUUACGAGUGUGUCCAGUGAUGAUUCGAAGGUUGAAGCAGGAUAUGACAAGGUGCCUCUUCAAGGCAUUGUGACCUUCCCAGGAGGAGCUGAAGGAGUGACUAAUGGGGAGAAGACAACCAGCCCAGAGAAAGACGUGGACUACGCUACGAUCAAUUACUCCAUGCUGCAGAAGAGGGACGACACCAGCGUCCUGGGCCAGAAGAAGGACUUGGACACGGAGUAUGCAGAGAUAAAGAAGGAAAAGAAGCCUGAUGAUCAGGCCAGGAAAAAAGAUGAUGAGGACGGGAAGGAGAAGACGGAGGAAGGGAAGAAAGAUCAGGAACCAGUUGCUGAAGAAGGGGGCAGAGCUCAGCAUGAAGAAAAGUCCUCGGUGCCUUUGGUGAAUUAGGCUCUAAAAAGAGAGGGUGUGCAAGCACCAGUAGAAUGGUCAGGACAGAGUUCCACUAAAUGCUGAGAGAUGCGGGCUUAAAUGGUUUGGCAACUUAUCUUAAAACAGACACCACAUCCCGGAAAUUAGAGAAAUAAUGUCAUGUCACAAUGUCAUGCCAUGAACUAAAGCUGUUGCGAUGCCCUUGCAAACACACUCUUCCUGUUUUGUGCAACUCUGUAAUGUUCUCAUAGGUACAGUAACCAUUUUUAAAAAUCAGAUGAUUGGUGUAGGAUUUAGAAGCCCGAAAUAUUUUUUUGCUUGCAGUGUACACUUAUGCAACUUUAGUAAAAACAUGUUCUGCACCUUGUACUUGUCCAGUUUCUGAAAUAAAUGUACCAUUAUGGGCUGUAUCCA
rnacentral:lncRNA from 1 species